rnacentral:rRNA from 1 species
AUGCGCCAGCUAAGGCUCGUCACCAACAUGAGGGCUCAUAAUGAUAGCUGGUUUGCGGAUUACUUGCUAAGGGUAGGCAAUGGCACCGAGGAAGUUGAUGAUCAAGGGAACAUACGACUCCCUGAAGAUAUUUGUGUGCCGUCUACAGGCGAGGGUGAUGACCUAGAGAAGCUGAUUGACCAUGUGUUUCGGAGACUAGAUGACAACAUGUCCGAUCCGAAUUACAUGACUUCACGCGCAAUCCUCUCCACCACGAACGACAAUGUUGACAAGAUAAACAUACGCAUGGUAGAGCGUUUUCGGGGAGAAGUAAUCUACCAUAGCUUUGACAGUGCAGAAGACGACCCGUAUGGCUACUACGCUCCCGAGUUCCUAAAUGGAUUGACUCCCAACGGUCUGCCUCUGCAUGCACUCAAAUUUAAGCUCAACUACCCUGUCAUACUUCUGAGGAAUAUUGAUCCGGCUAAUGGUUUGUGUAACGGGACGAGGCUUGUGGUGCGAGGUUUUGAGAGGAACGCCAUCGACGCAGAAAUCGUGAUCGGACAACACGCAGGUAGGAGGGUAUUCCUUCCUCGAAUACCCCUAUGCCCGUCUGACAACGACAUGUUUCCAUUCAAGUUCAAGAGGAAGCAAUUUCCUGUAAGGCUUAGCUUUGCUAUGACGAUUAACAAGGCUCAAGGCCAGACGAUUCCGAUUGUUGGCGUGUACCUACCUAAUCAGGUGUUCUCUCAUGGUCAACCCUAUGUCGCAUUGUCUCGAGCAACCGCAAAGAGAAAUAUAAAGAUCCUCAUUGAGAAGGAGAAGGAGAAUGCCAAGAAGCAAAGCGGUAAAUCUAAGAAGUGA